AGAGUUUGAUCCUGGCUCAGGACGAACGCUGGCGGCGUGCCUAAUACAUGCAAGUCGAGCGAGCUUGCCUAGAUGAUUUUAGUGCUUGCACUAAAUGAAACUAGAUACAAGCGAGCGGCGGACGGGUGAGUAACACGUGGGUAACCUGCCCAAGAGACUGGGAUAACACCUGGAAACAGAUGCUAAUACCGGAUAACAACACUAGACGCAUGUCUAGAGUUUGAAAGAUGGUUCUGCUAUCACUCUUGGAUGGACCUGCGGUGCAUUAGCUAGUUGGUAAGGUAACGGCUUACCAAGGCAAUGAUGCAUAGCCGAGUUGAGAGACUGAUCGGCCACAUUGGGACUGAGACACGGCCCAAACUCCUACGGGAGGCAGCAGUAGGGAAUCUUCCACAAUAGACGAAAGUCUGAUGGAGCAACGCCGCGUGAGUGAAGAAGGGUUUCGGCUCGUAAAGCUCUGUUGGUAGUGAAGAAAGAUAGAGGUAGUAACUGGCCUUUAUUUGACGGUAAUUACUUAGAAAGUCACGGCUAACUACGUGCCAGCAGCCGCGGUAAUACGUAGGUGGCAAGCGUUGUCCGGAUUUAUUGGGCGUAAAGCGAGUGCAGGCGGUUCAAUAAGUCUGAUGUGAAAGCCUUCGGCUCAACCGGAGAAUUGCAUCAGAAACUGUUGAACUUGAGUGCAGAAGAGGAGAGUGGAACUCCAUGUGUAGCGGUGGAAUGCGUAGAUAUAUGGAAGAACACCAGUGGCCAAGGCGGCUCUCUGGUCUGCAACUGACGCUGAGGCUCGGAAGCAUGGGUAACGAAC
rnacentral:rRNA from 1 species